GAACGCACAUUGCGCCCCUUGGUAUUCCAUGGGGCAUGCCUGUUCGAGCGUCAUUUGUACCUUCAAGCUUUGCUUGGUGUUGGGUGUUUGUCCCGAGGGACUCGCCUUAAAGUCAUUGGCAGCCAGUGUUUUGGUUUUGAAGCGCAGCACAAGUCGCGAUUCAAGGCUAUACGCCCGCUUCCACAAGCCUUUUUCACUUUUGACCUCGGAUCAGGUAGGGAUACCCGCUGAACUUAAG
rnacentral:misc_RNA from 1 species